GCGAAUGCUGGGCCGCGGGCGGUGUGAGUACGGAGGGUGUGGGCGUUAAUCGGAAUUACUUGGCGUAAAGCGGGCGCAGGCGGGUUGGUAAGCCAGGCUUUAAAUCCCCGUGCUUAACCUGGGAACUGCGCUUGUGACUGCCAGGCUAGAGUACGGCAGAGGGGGGUGGAAUUCCACGUGUAGCAGUGAAAUGCGUAGAGAUGUGGAGGAACACCAAUGGCGAAGGCAGCCCCCUGGGUCGAUACUGACGCUCAUGCACGAAAGCGUGGGUAGCAAACAGGAUUAGAUACCCCGGUAGUC
rnacentral:rRNA from 1 species